GAUGAAGAACGUAGCGAAAUGCGAUAAGUAAUGUGAAUUGCAGAAUACAGUGAAUCAUCGAAUCUUUGAACGCACCUUGCACCCUUUGGCAUUCCGAAGGGUAUGCUCGUUUGAGUGUCAUUGUACUCUCACACUUCCAAUCUUUGGAUUGGGAGCAGUGGACUUGGGUGUUGCUGCUUACUGUGGCUCACCUCAAAUCGAUUCGUGCACCUCUUGGUUGGACAUAGUACGGCGUGAUAAGUGUCUUCGCCGGCACCUCAGUAGAGGGUGGCUGAUCAGGAGCUCUGUGCUUCAAACCGUCCUCGGACAACAACUGACAACUUGACCUCAAAUCGAGUAGGACUACCCGCUGAACUUAAGCAUAUCAAUAAGCGGAGGA
rnacentral:misc_RNA from 1 species